GUGGUGUGCGAGAUGUCAGUGAACAUUCUUUCGGGCGGAACAGAUCAACACUAAACAGCUCCAAUGAGCUUGGUAAAGCUGCAUACAAGAAAGAGAAUGACUCAGUUGCUUAUAUGCCAUAUUCUGCUUCUUCAAAAUUACAUUCAACAGGACAAAUUUUGAAUGUGCAACUUUACCCACAAAGCAAUUCUUUUGAUGCUGAUUAUAGAACAUAAUCGAUAGGUACAGGUGAUAUGAUUGAUUCAUCUAUGCAACCAUCUUAUGUAUCAAAGUCUUCUAGGCUGGGGGGCACCUCAGAACAUGUUGCUAUGGCUGAUAUUGUAAGGCUGGGUAGACCAAAGAGCAAAGGCUCACAAAUGCCAUGUGAGACACCUUAUUCCCCUCAAGAUGCUGUUCCACCACAUUCAACCAUCUACCAAAUGAAGCAAUUCCUUGCUACUUCAGAUUCAAAAUUAGGAACAGACCAAGAUUCGCAUUCUUCGGAUUUGA